AAGGAUCAUUACCUAGAGUUGUAGGCUUUGCCUACCAUCUCUUACCCAUGUCUUUUGAGUACCUUCGUUUCCUCGGCGGGUCCGCCCGCCGAUUGGACAAACUUAAACCCUUUGUAAUUGAAAUCAGCGUCUGAAAAAACAUAAUAGUUACAACUUUCAACAACGGAUCUCUUGGUUCUGGCAUCGAUGAAGAACGCAGCGAAAUGCGAUAAGUAGUGUGAAUUGCAGAAUUCAGUGAAUCAUCGAAUCUUUGAACGCACAUUGCGCCCCUUGGUAUUCCAUGGGGCAUGCCUGUUCGAGCGUCAUUUGUACCUUCAAGCUCUGCUUGGUGUUGGGUGUUUGUCUCGCCUCUGCGUGUAGACUCGCCUUAAAACAAUUGGCAGCCGGCGUAUUGAUUUCGGAGCGCAGUACAUCUCGCGCUUUGCACUCAUAACGACGACGUCCAAAAAGUACUUUUUACACUCUUGACCUCGGAUCAGGUAGGGAUACCCGCUGAACUUAA
rnacentral:rRNA from 3 species